rnacentral:rRNA from 1 species
AAACCAGCACCUCAAGUGGUCAGGAUGAUUAUUGGGCCUAAAGCAUCCGUAGCCGGCUCUGUAAGUUUUCGGUUAAAUCUGUACGCUUAACGUACAGGCUGCCGGGAAUACUGCAGAGCUAGGGAGUGGGAGAGGUAGACGGUACUUGGUAGGAAGGGGUAAAAUCCUUUGAUCUAUUGAUGACCACCUGUGGCGAAGGCGGUCUACCAGAACACGUCCGACGGUGAGGGAUGAAAGCUGGGGGAGCAAACCGGAUUAGAAACCCCGGUAGUCC